AGCGGUUUCUUUUCGUAAGGUUGAAAGUCACGCUUCCGUUAGUGACACCAGCUAGCAAGCGUUGCAGCUGGUCUAAGAUUUACGAAGACAUCGUAAACCUUUGCAUAACGAUGAAAGUAGAGAACUCUUCGAAACGUCUGGUUUUAGCGGUUGUAGCGAUGACAGCGUAUAGCACAGCUUUUUUUGCAAGACACGGUUUUUCAAUAAGUCUUAGGGAACUUCGUGAGCCGCUCCCACUCAUGCCAAUUGAGCUUGCGUGCCACAAACCUGGAGAUGGCCAGGGAACACGGUUUGCAAGAUUUUCUAUAAUUAACAUUGCAAGCUUGUUCAAGCUAUGAAGCACAAGAGUACUUCACUAAAAUUUAAGCAAUCUAUCGCAUAUCUCCGUAAUAUCUUAUUCGGUGCGUCGUAACAUAGCAGCCUAAUGGACAAUAACGGUUCCGCGAACUCUUUGAAAAACUUCACAGUAGUAGCGAAUUUUAACGCUUUGGCAAACAGUCAAGCGACAUUGCAUAGUAUGCAAGGCAACAUAGUAAACUCAGCGUCAAUGACGGCCCUUCUUUCGGUAUUUUAAUGGUGAUGCUCUCGAUACCUGGAGCCUUCCUCUGCGGCAAUGCGUAGAUUAUUAUUUCGUCGGUUUUAGUAGCUGUGGUAGACCCUAAUCGGUUUAAUAACUUAUUUUUUCUAUUUUCAUAUAUCACUGACAGCGCAGCCCUCAAGUUUUUAAGACUAAUAUGCUUGUAAUAUGAUAAUACACAGGAUUUUAAACGCUGAGAAACCGCAAGACUUUGCACCGCGUUUAGGCUCUCUGGCCUGACGUUUGGGGCGCAGACCCCGAGUGUACUCUCACGCCCCACGACAAUCCGCUAUAAAGGAAUUUUUUUAAGGAAGCUUCAUAAUUUUGUAGUAGUUGGCGACAUUUCCUCUUUAGAAAAAACUAUAAAAGAAAAAAAAUAUCGAUGUUAAUAUAGUAGACAAGCAUAAUAGAACUCUUCUUCACUGGGCCGUGCACGGCGGAAAUGAAAGACUCAUUAAGUUUCUUUUAAGUAAAGGGUUGCGUCCAACUAUCCGUUCUUCGGCUGGAUUAUUACCAAUUCACACAGCUGUGCUUUGCGGACACACCAAAGUGGUUGAGCUUUUACUUAAUUCAAAACUUAAGCCUGAAUACAACAGUGAACUUUUUUUGUAUGACAAAAUUAUGCUACAUUGGGCUGCUGAACAAGGAAACAGUGAUAUUGUUUCUCUUUUGUUAAAGGCCGGAUUUGAUCCCGCUGCUUUGAAUUUAAAUGAAAAAAACGUGGCAGAAGUAGCGGCAUUAAAUGGUCAUAGGGAACUGUCAGAAUUCAUUGAAAAAAG